UCUGUCAGUGAGGGAGGAGGUGAAGGAGGGGGGGCUGUCUGCCUCCUGCUCUGUGUCUCACGCCUGUCCAUCUGAUUCCCCUCUCCUCACCUGGAGCCACUCCGGAAUACCCAGUGUCCAAUCACAGCAGCUGACCAACGGACAGUGGGAAGUGACGUCAUCCCUGACCUUUACCCCCAGCAGCACUGAUCACAACCAGUCUCUGGUCUGCACAGCAGCAUACAGGGGGGGGGAAGACAACGAAAACGUUGAAAACUCUCAAUGUCAAAUAUGCCCCAGUGGAUGUGAAGGUUAAGGGAGUGUCCAGUGUGAAGGAGGGAGACUCUGUGGAGCUGAGAUGCUCCAGUGACAGUAACCCUGCUGCCCACAGCUACCGUUGGCACAACAGCAGAGGACCUCUGCCCACCACUGGACCCACACUCACACUGGAGAAUGUGACCAGACUCACUGAAGCCCUCUACUGCAUUGCCAUCAACACAGAGGGACAAGGCCAAUCCAGCCCACUGAAGCUCAACGUAGAGUAUCCCCCUGAGAUCAAAUUGGGCUCUGCCUGCACUUCAGACAUCUCCAUGGUAACCUGUCUGUGCAUUGUGAAUUUGGAGCCCCCCGGCACCGUGGAGUGGUCUCUUCCAGCCCCCUGCCCACCCUGCCCAGUACCAGACGUGAAAGGCAUGGAUCAGUUACCAUGGUGACCCUACAGAGGGCACUAGGCUUCUCAGAGAACAUCCACUGCCAUUCCAGCAACACCCAGGGCAAUGCCACCUUGUCCUUCACUGUGUCCACAAAUGAUAAGAUGUCGAUGCUGUACGUUUCAAUUGGUAUUGCUGCAUUAGUGGUGGUAGUAAUACUAGUUCCCAUGUCAGGUUGCCGAUUGAACAAGAAGGGUGGGAGGAGUCAUAGUGACCUGCCAGUAGCCAGUAUACAGGACAUGGAUGCAGCCAAGUGUGCUUCCUCAGAUCCCUCAACAUCAUGGAAUUUUUCUACAGGCUGUUUGGUCUGUGAUCAAAAUGAAAGAGCAGAAAGACACCAGCAGUGAAAUCCUCACAAACUACUACACCAACAAUCACCUAUAUGGCAACAUGGAGGCUGAAGAGGAUGGCAACCCAUUCGAGUGUGAGGUUGGAGAUGAUUCAGUCUAUGGUAACAUGUGAACACAACUGGAAGCAUGUGGAAGUCAGCUGGCUCAGAGCCCAUGAUUCAGUGUAUUGAAUACUGGGCAUGGUGUGUUCUCCUUCCUACUGUACAUCAUUGAGAGGGACCUGAGCCCUAGAACCAUGCCUCAGGACUACCUGGCAUGAUGACUCCUUGCUGUCCCUAGUCCACCUGGCCGUGCUGCUGCUCCAGUUUCAACUGUUCUGCCUGCGGCUAUGGAAUCCUGACCUGUUCACCGGACGUGCU